rnacentral:piRNA from 1 species
UAAAAUUGUGGUGCUGGGAAGCAGACUCA